GACAGAGGUGCCGAGCGUUAGGCGGAAUCACUGGGCGUAAAGGGUGCGUAGGUGGUGAGGUAAGUUUGAUGUGAAAGCUCCGGGCUUAACCCGGAAAUGGCAUUGAAUACUAUCUCGCUUGAGGGUUGGAGGGGAGACUGGAAUUCUUGGUGUAGCAGUGAAAUGCGUAGAUAUCAAGAGGAACACCAGUGGCGAAGGCGAGUCUCUGGACAACUCCUGACACUGAGGCACGAAAGCUAGGGGAGCAAACAGG
rnacentral:rRNA from 1 species